AUAACAGUAAUUAGUGUACAGCUUUUCCUACAAGCACACGUACCCUACCAGUUCCACUGCUGUGGAUAAAAGAGGGCCGUGCUAAGCCGUGUGGGCACCCAGUGCCUUGCCAGGCCGCUGGCAGUGCUGAGCUGGUGAGUGGCUCACAGGGACCCUUUGUUGCUGCAGUUAUUCUGAUUCCUUGUGUGCAUCUAACUGGAUCACAGGGACAGCGUGGCUCAGACACAAAUGCUCUUCCCUCUCCACCUACCUGAGCUAAACUGCAGCUGCUCCCUCCUCCCCCAGCACGGGGAUGAACUGUCCCUGUCCCACUGCCAGAGCACAGGGCUGCCUCUCACCACCCACUCCACACCUUGCCAGACAUCAAACUGCUAAAGGACUGUGCAGAAUUAACCACAGGCUGUUAAAGUUCAACCAAAUACACCACUCGGGAGUCUCGAACCAAAAGUCAUCCAAAGCAGCUGGGUUUAGGAUGGUUUCAGACAACAAUGUCAGUGCAAACUGCACGAGGGAAUGCUGCCCCACGGAGGGGGGAGUCACCAUCAAAUUCAGGUGUUAAAACGACUCCAUCCAUCUUUACAUAUUCAGGUAACUACAGGUCUCCUGAAAAUGUUGUCACCUGGCAGCUUGGGAGGUGGAGGGCCCCUCAGCUGAUGUGUAAUAACCACAGGCACUUUGGAGGAAAAAAAAAAACUGCUGAAGGCUAUACAUUGAUGAAAAAAUUAGCAUUUAUCAGUAUAACACCAUUAUGAGACCAGCAUGGCACUAACAUACACAAAAUCUAAAUCUAUUUUUCUGCUUAGACUUAGGAAAACCUGAAAGACUGUGAUCUCACCAGGCAGAAAAUGUCUCCUUGCAGUAUAAGCACUGAAAGUAAUUGGGCAGAAGCAAAUAAUUUGCAUAUAAUUGAACAAGACAUAAUAAAAAAACCACCCCAGCAAAUGGAUGAGCCAGCACCAAGAGGCCAUUCAUUACCUGCACUGAGUUCAACCGGCAGUAUCCGUUCAAGGGAAACCUGAUAACGUGGGUUGGGUCCUGGUUCCAGCCUGCGUUUACAGAGUUGCACAUGACAUCCCCAGUCUCUGGGAAGAUCUCUUCUAUUAAAGCCUUCUCCCCACUCAAUGCAAUUCUCUCCCCCAGAUCUGGAGUCACUCUUACAACCAAGCAGUCACAAGGCUGGAAAUGUUUCCUUUGUUCUUUCUCUUGUUUCCAUCGCUCAAGUUCCUUAAUCAUUGGCUGCAGCUGGUAAUACUUUGCUUCUUCAUAUAAAAGAUUAAAGUCCUGGGAGGAAGAAAAAAGAAGAGAGAGGGAGAGAGAGAAACUAGAAAUGCUUAUAGUUCUCUUUUAAAAACGAGUAUUGUUCCUGUUUGACCUACUUAGGCUUAUGUACUGUCAGCAAGAGCGCAAAGGCAACAGGUAUCCACAUAUCUUCAUCUUACACCUACACAGAAAACCACAUGGUGUUAGUGUUGAAUCUAUUUGAGCUGACCAUGAAGUUCCCAUUGCACUGAAUUAUCCUUUCAUUUAUUAUCCCACAAGCUCAAUGCCAGAAGGCUUUAGUCUUGGAUUAAGAAAUCAAAAUAGCUGGUUGCAAUAAACAAAGCCUACUGAUGUAAGAGAAGAUGUUCCAAGCCCUAAUCUUCAGUCUUGGCCUCAGAUACUUCUGAUCUUACAACAGAUCUCAGGCUUCGCUGUCGCCUCUCACACAUGUUACGAGAUGGAGAUGUCAGUUCAGCUUCACUUCUCACCUGUCUUUGCUGAGGCUGAAAUUCAGCUGCAGCAGCUCAGCUGCUCCCUGCAUUUCAUGACUAUUCAUGUAUUUAAAGCAUACUUUGGAGCCUGGUAAAUUAUAUGGAGGGAGUGACCAUCCUGCUGGGUGGGAGCUCAGCUGUGCACUCCAAUAGCUUAAAAGAAGCUGUUCUUCCCUGCCAUUGUCCAUCGCCUCACUUUGGCUUUGGGCAAUUCAAAUUCCCAAUUUGAUCCAGUUCCCAGUUCAGUGAUUGAGAUAUCUGCUGCACAUCCUCAUCAGAUGCACAUCCUUUCAUCAGGUUUCUGACACAUCUUUCCACCUCAGCCAUGUGAGAGUACGUGGAGGCAAAGGGUGUCAGCCCCCCCAACUCAAGGAGGCAGCAGUGCCCACCAGGCCAAGCCUGAGAAGGAGAAGGAGACACCCUCACUGAGCACUCUGCUUACAGUGGCCACACCACCUCCUUCAGCCUCCUGAGGGGAGGAGGAGCAAAAAGAGCACGGCACCAGCAAAGACCUGCUGUUUGCUUUCCUGGCUCUUGCACCUCUUUAAAGAUGCAGAUGCUGCACCCCAGGUAAGACAGUACCUGACUUUUGUGGAGUAUGCUGGAACACCUGGAACAAAGGCUGGUUCUACACCAGUGAAAUGAAACAAAAAAAUCACAAGAGUGAAAUGACUGGAAUCAUUUGGACUGGAAAGAAUGGCAUGACAAGGAAUAAUCAAGAAAUGGGCACUCAAAUUCCAUGAAAAAUAACGGGUGUGCUGCUGCCCAGGGACUCAGGGAAGAGAGGGAAUCAAGUGAACAGGCAGCACAAAAAGGUGCGACUCUUCAGAGUGGUUUGGAAUUAACCUGUAAAAUCUGCUGCUGCAGGGUAUUACUGAACCAAAGCAGUUAGCUCUGUUCAAAUUUGGCACCACAGACCCACCACCGUUAGCUGAGGUGCUCCCUCACCCCAGGGCUGCCUGCAGCCUGGAGACGUAUGAAUAUUCACAGUGACAGCGGCAAGGUUAUCGCCUUACAAAAGGGACAUCCAAUGCUUUACAUCUCUUUGAUGUCUGUUAAGGCUGGGACAAUGCACACACUGCUAAGGGAGGGAAAAAAAGACCGGAGCAGCGAGGAAGAGGGAUAAGAGCAAGUGGGAAGAAAUGAGGGCAACAAACACACUCACAGAACACAGCUUGAAGAUGAAAAACAACAGGAAGAUUAAAGAAGAAAUCGUACAGAAGGCAUGCUGCAAACAACCAGAGCUGGGAACAGGCCAGGCAAAGAGCCGGGCACUGGCUGCACCACCUUCUCUCAGGUUUUAUACAUUGUUUGGAGAGCUGUGUGUCUGUGACAGGACUGGAAGCGAUGCUCAGCUCUGGACUAUCUGCACUGAAUGCUCAGGAUGCCCAGUGCUGUGAAGAUCUGACUCCUGGCUACGAGAGAAAGUUGCUCACUUCUGUGUGACAACUGCACCAUUUGCUAAGGUCAGUCUGAGAAGACUUAAAAUUAGAUGAAAGCACACUAAUUUUGUAACUGUAUUAAUAAAUUAGUGGUGGCCUUGUCAUUCUGGUGACCUCUGUAAUCCAUAUAAAACUCAGAUGUCCUGUGCAUUUGUGC